AGGAAGGUCUGGCUAUGUGAGACCAGCAUCUAACAUAAGCUACUCCGCUGCGCUUUGGAGUAAUGUCGGGCUAUGUGAGACUAGCA